rnacentral:rRNA from 1 species
AUGGCGCCCGUCGUCAAGUUCGUCGUCGCCGCCCUGCUAGUGCUUGCGGCCAUCGCUGGCCCUGGAGGCGUCGGCGUCGCCUCGGCCACCACCGGCGCUGCUGGCCCCGCGGCGGCGCCAUCGCCGGCCCCACUCGUCGCUCGCCUCCGCCUCGCGCUCUCGGGCAUGGCGGAGGAGCAGCAGGGCGGCGGGUGGAUGAUGGAGUGCUGGGGCGCGGUGACGGAGCUGCGGUCGUGCACCAGCGAGAUCGUGCUCUUCUUCCUCAACGGCGAGUCCUACCUGGGCCGCGACUGCUGCAUCGCCAUCCGCACCGUCACGCUCCACUGCUGGCCCUCCAUGCUCGCCUCCAUAGGCUUGACCGCCCAGGAGGCCGACAUCCUCCGCGGCUUCUGCGACGCUGAGAUCCCACACGCUCCUCCCCCGCCGGCGCCGGCCGCCGUGCCGGCGCCUGCUGCGCAGCCAUGA